rnacentral:lncRNA from 1 species
UUUACUUGUCCAUCUCCACCCUUUACUGCAAGUUUCUUUUGAGGAGAAAUUUGUAUUUGUGAUUUGUAUGUGAAGUCUGUCUGAACUGCACAUACAAAUCACCAUGCAUAGAGCCUGAUACAAGCAAAAAAGGAAGAGAGAGAAGAAAAAGAGAUUGUAUAAGGUUCACAGGUUGUUAAGCAUCUGGAAUUGUAAUUCUAUGUUACAACUGGGAAAGGCAUGAUUUCCUAGGGUGCUCAACAGAAAAGAUCUAAAAGAAUGAAUCAUGAUGUAGAGUGAAAAACAUUCUCUUCCUCCAGGCUGUAAGAUUCUCUGCAAAGGAUCACAUCAGACCAAUGGAUGCGAUUCUCCUGUUCAAUGAAAGGAGCAUUACCAAUUCAUGAGUGGUGCUAGUAAUUUCCCUGUUCUAAUGGGGCAAGGCCUUACAGCAAGGUCGACAUUCCAGAAGGGAGAACUUAAAUGAUACAACCAUGAAUACCCAGGAACCUGCUUUAUGCCCCAGUUGUUCCCCUACCAUCCAUCAAUCUAAAGGGGCCCAUGAUAUCGUUGGGAAACAACAAUCAAUAUCCUAAGAUUUUCCUUAUUCCCCAUAAUAUAAGAAAACUCUUUCUUAAAACAAGUAAACAAAUCUUCAUCAAUUGAUGAACAUUAUGUAUAAUUUCCCAAAAUUCUUAAAAAUAUUUUUGUUUUGAGAAAAGGUCUUGUUGUCAUCCAGGCUGUAGUACAGUGACACAAUCACAGCUUACGGUAGCUUUGACCUCCGGGGCUCAAGCAAUCCUCCCACCUCAGCUUCCAGAGUACCUGGGACUACAGGUAAGUGCCACCACACCCAGCGAAUUUUUAAAUUUUUUAGUUUUUUGGUAGAGAUGGAGUCUCCCUAUGUUACCUAGGCUGGUCUCAAAUUCCUGGGCUCAAGCGAUCCUCCUGCCUCAGCCCCCCAACUUGCUGUGAUUAUAGGCAUGAGCCACCAUGCCUGGCCUAAAAAUAAUUUUCCAGAAAAAAAAAAAAAACUCCUUCUGUCAGGCCUCUGAGCCCAAGCCAAGCCAUCACAUCCCCUGUGACCUGCACGUAUAUGCCCAGAUGGCCUGA